rnacentral:rRNA from 1 species
GACGAACGCUGGCGGCGUGCCUAACACAUGCAAGUCGAACGGGUGGAAGACUUAAAUACUUAGUGGCGGACGGGUGAGUAACGCGUGAGGAACCUGCCUUUCAGAGGGGGACAACAGUUGGAAACGACUGCUAAUACCGCAUAAAGUUAUUUGGGGGCAUCCCUGGAUAACCAAAGAUUUAUCGCUGAAAGAUGGUCUCGCGUCUGAUUAGCUGGUUGGUGAGGUAACGGCCCACCAAGGCGACGAUCAGUAGCCGGUCUGAGAGGAUGAACGGCCACAUUGGGACUGAGAUACGGCCCAGACUCCUACGGGAGGCAGCAGUGGGGAAUAUUGGGCAAUGGGGGAAACCCUGACCCAGCAACGCCGCGUGAAGGAAGAAGGCCCUCGGGUUGUAAACUUCUUUUAGCAGGGACGAAAAAAUGACGGUACCUGCAGAAAAAGCAACGGCUAACUACGUG